rnacentral:misc_RNA from 1 species
ACACAACACGGCGCGGAAUUCUCUAGAUCACUUCGGCGCACCGCGCCUCCUUUUAGUUCCUUUCCGCUGUCUUGCCCUUGUCUUCGUCGGCUCCUUUUAACCGCCCCCGAUCGGCUGCUCAUCUCUGACACGUCUCACUGCUCCCCCUCCUUCCCUCCCCCCUUCUGCCCUCUGGCGAGGUCCGCAGUCUCGAUUUUUUUUUUGAGGGAAUUCCUCCGGCAACUCUUCCGACCUCGUCGAGCGUUUCUUUCGUUUUCGCUGUUGGCUGCUGUCCGCCGGAGGACCACGCACCCCUGCCGCCGCAGCUCAAACGCGGAUCCCCACAGGCAGAGUCGCUGGCAGGCGCGCACCCCGACAAACAUACGCCGCCGCAACGAGGAAGCAGAAAAAAAGACCCCAAAGCGAUAUCCAAGUAAAUGGCGUCGUUCAAGUGCACCAGCCUUCUCUUGAUCAGCGUCGUGGCGGUCGUCAUAGCCUUUUUUGCGUACGUGGAUCAACCAUCGCAUUGGGUGUACGACCCCGUGCGCCUGCAACAGAUUGCGCAGCAGAGCAUUGCCACCGCCCAUGCGGCAAACGGGGGCAAGGCGACGGCAAAGCAGGUAACAGACGAGACCAUUCGUCUGAUCCUGGAGAACUACCCGAAAACGACGCGAUACACGGGCCACUGGCUCUGGAACAACGCAGGCGGGGCUAUGGGGUCCAUGACGGUGCUGCACUGCUCCUUCUCAGAGUACCUGAUUAUCUUUGGCUCCUCUGUCGGCACGGAGGGGCACACGGGUCGCUACUUCUGGGCUGACGACUUCUUCAACAUCCUCGUUGGCGAGCAGUGGGCAGCGCUGCCCGGGGUGGAAGAGAAAGAGGUUUACCGCCCAGGAGAUCAGCACAUCUUGCCACGCGGCUCAGCGAAGCAGUAUCGCAUGCCCGAAGAGUGCUGGGCUCUCGAGUACGCCCGCGGUAACAUCGUAUCGAUGCUUUUCUUCGGCUUCGCUGACAUGUUCAGCUCCACGCUGGAUGUGGUGACCAUCUACCAGACGGUGAUGGAAAGCGCCGGCAACAUGAUUAGGAAUACCUUGAUGGGCAAAAUCUGAGACACGACGCAGACCCCCCAGAACGAGAGUCACGAACGUAAAAAAGGACAUGCAGCGCACUGUCGACUGUGACUGCUCACGCAAUAAGUGGCCACACCGAAGACACAGACACAUACAAACGGUCGGUGGAUAACUCGGCUGCAACAGACGGAGCAGCAGAUGCGCGAAAAACUACAUAGAGCAGCAGAGCACCCUCCUGCUCUUACAAAGAGCACAGACAUUUCUUUCCCGUCAAAAGGUCCGUCCUUCCGGACGUGCAACAUGAGUUGCACGCCACUCCACCCGCCCCCGGCCUGCCACAGACCCCACCGCGCGGUGCGAAGCAGCCGUGGACACACGCGCUAGAGAGUGCGCCGACUCCGUCAUCGGAGCACGGCCCCCUGCGCCAGGCUCCACCCAUCACCGCCGCUUAGCCGGUCGCCUCGCAGCCGCGCCACCCAUUGUGCUGGUCGCCACCCAGUGCAUCUCCUCGCGGUCGCGCAGGCUGUGCCUCCACCAGCAGGCAGUGCGAGGGCCGUGUGGGAUACGUUCGAGUCACGCGGACACGUCGCCUAUCGCGUGGAUGGCAGAAGCGUGCGCACCGUCGCUGGCCUCUCCAGCGCAACAAUGUCCACAGCCUGACCGCCGGCAUGCGUAGCGGUACAUCGCUCUGACCCUCCCGCCCUCCGCCAUGUCCGAGGUGCGUGAAGUUUUCACCACCUGAAGUGGCUCGGCGUUGGCAGUGAUAGGGGGUGGGGGCUGCAUAGCUUCCCCCACACAGAGCGUGGGGAGGGGGAGGGGUGUACUGCGCCCUGCGAUGCCACGCGCGGAGAGGGGUGUCCUCCCCGCUCAACCCGUCAUCGGGAACCAGAAGAGCGUUAAAGCACAGACAAAAAGAGCCAAGAAGAGAAGUUGUGACUUCCGCUGCUGCCAACGCUCUUUUUAUUUUGGUUGCUUCUCUGUUGCUGGCCACCCCACCGCGGGUGCCUGGGUGCGGCACCCAACGCUGUGCGGAAGCCAAGCGCCCACAUCCAGCGCUUCGUGUGGUGGGCCUCGGACUCUUGGUGUCGGCGGACAGGUCUGGGCUGGCGGUGUGCCGAAGAGACGUGCGGCCUUGAUGGUCGCGUUGGGGCCCGCUCGCUACGAAUCGUGCCGACGGCUCAACACGUGUGCGCAACGGCGUGCAGCGGGCGCGAGUCUCUGUGCGGCGCCGGUGGCGCCGCACGUAUCCGAGGAAGGACGAGAAUGCAGGGCGCAUGACCCGACUCGACGGCAGACGGCUCGUGCUGGACGACGAGGAUUUAGCGGUGGCGCAGCAGAGGCAGGUGGGCUGCGGCUGCGUGCGCGUAUUCGCUGAGCUGCUCGCGGUACUAUGGCAUGUAAUCAAGAAAAGGGGUCUGCCGUUUUGUGUACUGACGUAAUGCUUGGAUUUUGGUGGAUUAUGGCUGCAGCGGUGAGCGCUGGUGGUCGUGCUGGACGUACUGCAUAUACGCAGAGGUUCUGGAUUGCUGUAGUACAUCGACCGGCUCUGUGUUGUACAUGUAGGGAAUGAGCUAGACGAUGCCUGCCGCGGUGAAAGUGUGCACCGCUUCUGGGGGUUCUGUGCACUGCCAGAGCAUCUAUUCGUGUACGCAUGUCUGCACCCUCGUCCCUCUUUGGUGGUUUUUGUUCAUGUACGCCGUUACCCACUUUUUUUGUUCGGUUUCCGGAGGCUGCAGGGAGACCUUGAUUCUGUGUUUGUCGGGCGGUGAGCGACGAGUGCUGCCGCGACCCAAGAGAGAGCCAAAGCAAAACACUAAGACGCCAACUCACCAGUUUGUUGGGUUUCGUGGAAGAUCUUGGUAAGAGGCGAUGUUCUCGCUUCCCUGGCUGCCCGAAAGCCUGGCUCGGCGAGCUAUUCCGAGCGACGCCGUGCGAUUCUGGUGGUCAUGUGCCGAUGUGUUCGCGAAAGGCGGCUGCGCCGCCCACGUGACUGUCGGCGUUGUAGUGCUGGAGCGCGUUGCUUUGCUCCACCCCCUCCACCCGCCAUCGCUUUGUUUCUCCCGCCAGGAUCGACUAGGAGGGUGUGGCUUCGUCAGGCGGUGUCCGCAUGCUUCGGAGAAGGUCCUCUCCUUUGGCGCCUUUUCCUUCCUCUGUGCGCGCCAGUCUGUUUUUUUUGUUUGUUUGUUCUUGCGCCGUUUAGCGACCACCACCACUACCCUCCUUGCAGCAACUCGGUGUCAAAAACUCUCACCUCCUUCUCUCUCUUGCGCAUGCGCCGCUGCUGUUUUCGGCCUCCGCCCGCCCCCUCCCCCUCUACACCCAUCCAG